rnacentral:tRNA from 1 species
UUGAGUAGCAGCUUCUAGCAUAUCACUGUUAAUGAUUACAUCACCCCCACUCAAA